rnacentral:rRNA from 1 species
UACGUAGGGUGCAAGCGUUGUCCGGAAUUAUUGGGCGUAAAGAGCUCGUAGGCGGCUUGUCACGUCGACUGUGAAAACCCGGGGCUCAACCCCGGGCCUGCAGUGGGUACGGGCAGACUAGAGUGCGGUAGGGGAGACUGGAAUUCCUGGUGUAGCGGUGAAAUGCGCAGAUAUCAGGAGGAACACCGGUGGCGAAGGCGGGUCUCUGGGCCGUAACUGACGCUGAGGAGCGAAAGCGUGGGGAGCGAACAGG